GGAAUUAUUGGGCGUAAAGCGUCCGCAGGCGGUGGGUUAAGUCAGGCAUUAAAUUCCGAAGCUUAACUUCGGAGCUGUGUUUGAAACUAAUCCACUAGAGACAAGGAGAGGCACACGGAAUUCCCGGUGUAGGGGUUACAUCCGUUAAUAUCGGGGAGAACACCAUUUGCGAAGGCGGUGUGCUAGACUUGUUCUGACGCUCAGGGACGAAAGCGUGGGUAGCGAAUGGAAUUAGAUACUCCAGUAGUCCACGCCCUAAACUUUGAAUACUUGACUUGAGGAGUUCGACCCUCCUUGAGCCUGAAGCUAACGCUUUAAGUAUUCCGCCUGGGAAGUACGGCCGCAAGGCUAAAACUCAAAGGAAUUGACGGGGACCCGCACAAGCGGUGGAGCAUAUGGUUUAAUUCGUAGAUAAGCGUAGAACCUUACCAGGGCUUGACAUGCUACUGCAAAUCCUAUGAAAGUAGGACUCCUUCGAGGGUGUAGCACAGGUGCUGCAUGGCUGUCGUCAGCUCGUGUCGUGAGAUGUUGGGUUAAGUCCUCUAACGAGCGCAACCCCUGUGAUAUGUUAAAUUUUCAUAUCAGGCCGCCCCGGUAUAACGGGGAGGAAGGUGGGGAUGACGUCAAGUCAGCAUGGCUCUUACGUCCUGGGCGACACGUAUGCUACAAUGGGAAAUACAAAGAGACGCAAAGUCGUAAGACGGAGCUAAUCUCAUCAAAAUUUCUCUCAGUUCGGAUUGGGGGCUGCAACUCGCCCCCAUGAAGCCGGAAUCGCUAGUAACCGUAGGUCAGCCACACUACGGUGAAUACGUUCUCGGGUCUUGCACACACCGCCCGU
rnacentral:rRNA from 1 species